rnacentral:lncRNA from 1 species
CACCCUUUAGACUUCCAAUGCUUCUGGCUUUAAUAUUCUGUGCUAGAUUCACAGAGCUCCUCUACAGAUGCUAAGCGUUCAAUCCUGAAGGCUCCACUUCAUCAUCAGAACAAGUAUGUAAAGCUCUGAAUUUCAAAGCUGUGCUACUCUCAAACUCCUCUUCCAUGAAUAUUAAG